CUAAAGAGAAGGCUUCUUAAUUCCUCCUGUCCUUAUUGGAGACUCUCCAGCAGAAAGAAGCCAGCUUUCCUGGGAGAAAGAAGAUCCUCCUAUUUGUACCUGGUUCUUGUGGUGAGACACAUGCCAUUUACACCCCUGCAAGUUCAAGAUGACAACUUCAAGGGACAAACCUUUGCAGGACUUGGUCCCAUGACAGAAUUAUUGAAGAGGAAGGGCAUCAAAUAAUAAGAAACCAGUUCUGUUGUGCCAUUUAAUGGGCAUAAAUGGUCUUCCAACCCCUCUUUGCCUCCAUUAGAAAGGGCACCUUGCUGGGUCAAGAGAGUGCAUAGGACUAGCUGCAGAAAUGAAAAUGAUGUAACAGCAAAGAGAUGUCAAUAACAUUAAAAAAAAAACUAAACUAAAAUUGGAAGA